UUUUCCUCUUUAUUUAUAAUUCAACAUAACCUUACCUUCCAUCAUUCCAUCAUCCCAUCAUCAAUCUCUGCUCAUCCGCCAUGAACGACCCAAAAUAUGCUUAUCCUUACCCUCCUGCUUCUCAAGGUGGAGCAGGAUACUAUCAAGGACCACCGGUGAUGGCACCUCCACAAUAUCAAUACGCCGCCGCACCACCUCCCAGAAGAGAACCUGGUUUCCUUGAAGGAUGUCUGGCAGCUCUGUGUUGCUGUUGUCUUCUCGACGAGUGUUGCUGUGAUCCCACCAUCAUCUUCUUCUAAUAUUACACAGAUCAGAUCAAUUUCCACUCUCUUCUUAGUACUCCAAUCCUAUCUUCUCCUUCUUGUUUGUUUUUUUUUAGAUUUUGUAAACCAACAUGUAUUAUUAAUUUGUGGCGUUCGUUAAUCGAUUGAUGUUCGAAAAACCAGAUAGAUGCUAUCGCUUUGUGGCGAGUAAAUGUUGCUAAAUUUG